GACGAACGCUGGCGGCGUGCUUAACACAUGCAAGUCGAACGGAAAGGCCCUGCUUUUGUGGGGUGCUCGAGUGGCGAACGGGUGAGUAACACGUGAGUAACCUGCCCUUGACUUUGGGAUAACUUCAGGAAACUGGGGCUAAUACCGGAUAGGAGCUCCUGCUGCAUGGUGGGGGUUGGAAAGUUUCGGCGGUUGGGGAUGGACUCGCGGCUUAUCAGCUUGUUGGUGGGGUAGUUGCUUACCAAGGCUUUGACGGGUAGCCGGCCUGAGAGGGUGACCGGCAACAUUGGGACUGAGAUACGGCCCAGACUACUACGGGAGGCAGCAGUGGGGAAUAUUGCACAAUGGGCGGAAGCCUGAUGCAGCAACGCCGCGUGCGGGAUGACGGCCUUCGGGUUGUAAACCGCUUUCGCCUGUGACGAAGCGUGAGUGACGGUAAUGGGUAAAGAAGCACCGGCUAACUACGUG
rnacentral:rRNA from 1 species